rnacentral:rRNA from 1 species
CCUACGGGGGGCAGCAGUGGGGAAUAUUGCGCAAUGGGCGAAAGCCUGACGCAGCGACGCCGCGUGCGGGAUGAAGGUCUUCGGAUCGUAAACCUCUGUCAGCAGGGAAGAACGGUCACUGUGCUAAUCAGCAGUGAAUUGACGGUACCUGCAAAGGAAGCCCCGGCGAACUCCGUGACAGCAGCCGCGGUAAUACGGAGGGUGCGAGCGUUAAUCGGAAUUACUGGGCGUAAAGCGAUCGUAGGCGGUAUGUCAAGUCAAGGGUGAAAUCCCCGCGCUCAACGUGGGAACUGCGUUUGAAACUGGCAAACUGGAGUGUGUGAGAGGAUAGUGGAAUUCCAGGUGUAGGAGUGAAAUCCGUAGAUAUCUGGAGGAACAUCAGUGGCGAAGGCGACUAUCUGGCACAUAACUGACGCUGAGGAGCGAAAGCGUGGGUAGCAAACAGGAUUAGAUACCCCAGUAGUC